UUUUAGCCCAGAUCAAAAUGGAAACCCCACAGUGAAUAAAGCUUAUUGUUGCUGUGGUUGCAAUGCGACCGGAGGAAGC
rnacentral:misc_RNA from 1 species